AAAAAGAUAUUAAUGGAAAAAUUGAUGAAAUCCAAAUAAAAUUUGGAGUUUAUAGUAACGUAUGUUUAUCUCUUAGUUUUGGCAAGUAUACCAUGGUUAUAUAAGAUGUUAAUAUUAGGGAAAAUUGGGUGAAGGGAAUAUGGGAUUCUUUCUACUACUGCUACAACUUUUCUGUAAAUCUAAAAUGAUUCGCAAGUGAAACAUUUAUUUAAAAGAAAAAAUAUCAAUAAGAAAAAGUAAUACAUUGAAAAAUUUGCAUGAUUUUUAAGAUAAAAUAUGAGCCUUCAAAAAAAUCUUGUAUUCAUGGUAGACUGCUUUAAACCCUGCCUCCCCUCUAGAGCUCCCAGAGGCGCUUUUCCGUUAAAGGGGUAAUUUAGAGCAAAAGUUUGAGAAGCAGCUUGUUUAGCUAGAUGAAUCCCAUAGCUUCUUGGAGGAUGGAUGUGAGGGGGAUAAGACUGGUGGCUGAGAGGCCAGCAGGGAUGUAACCAAAUCUAAGGCAAUGGGUCAAUAGACAAACUGGAUACAAAUUGACCUACUUAUUCCUGUUCUUGCUACCAGUGCUUUCUGGGAAUUUACUCAUUCCAGCCAUCCACUUUCUUCUUGAGUUUUCACAUAUCUGUAGUCAGGAGAAAGAAGAUCCUCUUCUAGGGCAGCCAGAUGACAUCAACAAAGUUGUCAAAUAUGCUUGAAAAGAAUGUGUUUUAAAAAAAAAAAAAACCCACAAAACACAUAGUAUCAUACUCUGGGAGACAAGGAGGAGUCUGAGCCACAGAAGGAUGAGUAAAUGGCCCAAGGUAACACAGCCUAAAGAACCUGCCAUUCUGCUGCAAGAAGGGCAGUAGCUGACAGCCUCCACCUGCAGCCCCUUCAGGAGCUACCUCAGCAUAUGAGCUGAAGCCACACUCUUCCUGAACAGUCCUCUGCCAGCAAGUGAGCACCAAGGGUGC
rnacentral:lncRNA from 1 species